rnacentral:lncRNA from 1 species
CACUGGGGACCGAGGGCAGCUGAUGGGGCCCUGAGCAGGACGUGCCUCUUCCGGACUUGACCACAGAACCCAAGCAUGGUUCAAGCGAUUCUCCUGCCUCAGCCUCCUGUGUAGUUGGGAUUACAGACGCCCACCACGGCACCCAGUCACAGAUGGACUCUGAGAGAGAAAAUAGCACUCCUGUCCAAAUGUCACAUGCCUGGCGGUGGAAUGCAGCCUGGCCUGUGCAUCUGAAUGUCAGAGAGUGCACCUUCCUCUCUUCUUUUGCUUUAUUUCCAGGGAAAGGGAAAGGAAGACAUGCAGGUAAUUUAUCAACUAAAUUACAGGCUGACUGAUAAUAAAGCUCCCUGCCCCACUAAAAAAGGAAA